GUCAGUAUGUCCGAGUGGUUAAGGAGAUAGACUUGAAAUCUAUUGGGCUUUGCCUGCGCAGGUUUGAAUCCUGCUGUUGACG
rfam:Ipomoea nil DNA, scaffold: scaffold1250, cultivar: Tokyo-kokei standard.